GUCGUUGUAAUAUGGUGGGGAGUAUUCUCGCCUGUCACGCGGGUGACCCGGGUUCGAUUCCCUGCAACGGCG